GCCCGAGUCGUUCAAUGGUAGGACGCGGAGCCUGUAACUCCGUCACCGGUGUUCGAUUCAUCGCUUGGGCCCCA
rnacentral:tRNA from 1 species